rnacentral:rRNA from 1 species
ACAACAACAUACCGCACGCGGGGGAUGCCUAGGCACCGGCCGGCGAAGAAGGACGCGGGAAGCGGCGAAACACCCUGGCGAGGCGCUCCAGCCCUUGACCCAGGGGACUCCGAAUGGGAAAACCCCCCAGGCGCGAGCCUGGGAUUCCUUUACAGGAAGGCAAACCCGGGGAAUCGAAACAUCCAAGUACCCGGAGGAAAAUAAAUCAACCGAGAUUCCCUCAGUAGCGGCGAGCGAAGCGGGAGAAGCCCAAACCGCGUUCUGCGCGGGGUAGGCAGGCAUAAUUCUGCGAGUCCGCCUUUGAAGCCCGCUGGAAAGCGGCGCCCGAGCAGGUGACAGCCCUUUAUGGGGUGGAUGAGCGGGAGGCCUGUUCACGAGUAGCCCAGGGCACGUGAAACCCGGGGCGAAGACGGGGGGCCCACCCUCCAAGGCUAAAUACGAGCCGGUGACCGAUAGUGCACAGUACCGUGAGGGAAAGGCGAAAAGAACCCAGCGAUGGGAGUGAAAGAGACCUGAAACCGCGUGCGGGCAUUCUGUCGUAGGGGGCUACAUGCCCCUGACGGCGUGCCUUUUGUUUAAUGAGCCAGCGAGUUGCUCGGCGGCGGCGAGGCUAAGGGGGCCAUUCCCCGGAGCCGUAGCGAAAGCGAGCCUGAAACGGGCGUUUCAGUCGCCGCCGGCAGACACGAAGCCUUAGUGAUCUAUCCGCGCCCAGGCCGAAGCGGGGGUAACACCCCGUGGAGGGCCGAACCGAUAUGCAUUGAAACGCGUCCGGAUGAGGUGCGGAUAGGGGUGAAAGGCCAACCAAACUGGGCGAUAGCUUGUUCUCUCCGAAAAAUAUUUAGGUAUUGCGUCUGGCGAUCCCUUGCGGGGGUAGAGCACCGGAUGGACUAGGGGGCGCACCCGCCUACCAAACCCAACCGAACUCCGAAUACCGCAAGGCCCAGCCAGGCAGGCAGCCCGCGGGCGAUAAGGUCAGCGGACGAAAGGGGAACAACCCGGACCACCGACUAAGCGCCCCCAAGCGCGCGCUAAGUGAGAAAGGAGGUGGCGGGGCUCGGACAGCCAGGAGGUUGGCUUAGAAGCAGCCAUCCUUUAAAGAAAGCGUAACAGCUCACUGGUCGAUGCCCUGCCGCGCCUAAAAUUAUCGGGGCUAAGCGCGCCGCCGAAGUCGUGGAUUUUGCAGCGAUGCAAAGUGGUAGGAGAGCGUCCCGUAGGCCUGGGAAGGCGGCUGGCGAUGGCCGCUGGAGGCAUCGGGAAUGAGAAUGCUGGCAUGAGUAUGCGAAAACGCGGGUGGAAAGCCCGCGCGCCGAAAGCCCAAGGGUUCCCGGGGAAGGUUAGUCCGCCCGGGGUGAGCCGGACCCUAAGGCGAGGCCGAGAGGCGCAGCCGACGGGAAGGGGGCCAAGACUCCCCCGCCCGCACGAGGGCGUUUGACCGACGCGGCGACGCGCGGGGCAGGGCGUAGCGGCUGACGGAUGCCGCGGAAGGGAAGUAGGGAGCCGGGGCGGCAAAUCCCCCCGGCAUAUGCCCGAGACCCCUGACCGGAGGAGGGCUUCGGCCCGAAUCCGAGUCGCCCCAGCCCGCGCCAGGAAAACCCGCUAAGGGAGCACUCGUGCGGACCGUACCCGAAACCGACACAGGUGGGCAGGGCGAGAAGCCCUAGGCGCUUGAGACAACCCGGGAGAAGGAACUCGGCAAAAUGGCCCCGUAACUUCGGGACAAGGGGCGCCCCCGGCCGUCAAUGGGAACACCAUGAAGCGGCGGGGGGCCGCAGUGAAACGGCAGAAGCGACUGUUUACCAAAAACACAGGGCAAUGCGAACCCGCAAGGGGAAGUAUAUUGUCUGACACGUGCCCGGUGCCGGAAGGUUAACGGGAGGCGUCAGGGGGGCAACCCCCGAAGCGGCGAACCGAAGCCCCGGUAAACGGCGGCCGUAACUAUAACGGUCCUAAGGUAGCGAAAUUCCUUGUCGGGUAAGUUCCGACCUGCACGAAUCGUGUAACGACUUCUGCGCUGUCUCCUCCCGAGACUCAGCGAAAUUGCAGUGCCGGUGAAGAUGCCGGCGCCCCGCGCCUGGACGGAAAGACCCCAUGAACCUUCACUGCAUCUUGGCACUGGCUUUAGGCGCCGCGCGCGUAGGAUAGGCGGGAGGCUAUGAUCCCCGGCUUCUGGGCCGGGGGGAGCCGUCGUUGAAAUACCGCCCUUGCGUUGCCUGAAUCCUAACCGCGCUCCCUUGCGGGAGCCGGGACAAUGCCUGGUGGCCAGUUUGACUGGGGCGGUCGCCUCCCAAAAAGUAACGGAGGCAUCCAAAGGUCCCCUCGGGCCGGUCGGCAACCGGCCGCGCGAGCGCAAAGGCAGAAGGGGGCUUGACUGCGAGACCGACGGGUCGAGCAGAUGCGAAAGCAGGGCUUAGUGAUCCCGCGGCACAGCGUGGAACGGCCGUUGCUCAAUGGAUAAAAGGUACUCUGGGGAUAACAGGCUGAUCUCCCCCAAGCGUCCAUAGCGACGGGGAGGUUUGGCACCUCGAUGUCGGCUCGUCGCAUCCUGGGGCUGGAGAAGGUCCCAAGGGUUUGGCUGUUCGCCAAUUAAAGCGGCACGCGAGCUGGGUUCAGAACGUCGUGAGACAGUUCGGUCCCUAUCCGGCGCGGGCGCACAAGGCUUGAGGGACGCCGUCCUUAGUACGAGAGGACCGGGACGGGGGCGCCUACGGCGAACCGGCUGUCGCGCCAGCGGCACGGCCGGGUAGCCGCGCGCCCUGCGGAGAAGCGCUGAAUGCAUCUAAGCGCGAAGCCGCUCCCAAGAUGAGGCCUGACGGGUCCGCCGGAGAACACGGCGUGGAUAGGGCGCAGGCAUAAGCGGCGCGAGCCGUUAACCCGAGCGCUACUAAUAGACCCUGCUUUUCCCCAU